GUGGUUUGUCGUGGAUGUGUGUAAGAGUGAAUUGGGCCUAUACAAGGAUUUUUCAGUAUGUUUUAAGGCCCUCAGCAGGCUAGCUCAGUGUCAGUGGGCCCAUAUAUCAAGUGUCCUUCAUCAUUGAUUAUCCGCUUCGUUCCCAGGUGACGACAGGCAAAAUGAGGUGGACGUGGCGGAGGCUGUGGGCGGUCAAUUCACGGUGCAGAUUACCAAACACCUUGCACCACGCUCAGUGCCCGCAGCUGUUCACUAAAGUCGGGCAAGCCUGUAUCUCCGUGUUCUGCCCUGGAUAUAGGAGUAAAGAUGAGUUUGUGCAGCUGUGUGGCAUUGAGGAGUGCCGGGAGAAGAAUGUCGGGUGUGUGUGAGCCUCUUUACAUCAACACUCGAGCGUCAUACUACUGCUAGUGCCGGCCAUGCAGGGUACAGACUCGUGUCAGAAAGUUCAAGUGUGAAGACAUUGACGAGUGCGUGGAGUCGCCCAGAUCCUCUCCCUAUGGACCAUCCCCUCAGCAGUGUUCGAUCCGCCCAGCAGCAACGGUCAUGAGAAGGUGGUCAUUGAAGUGUCAAGUCCCCAAGCUGGCAUGGUGGUGGGUGUUGUGCUGGUCUCCCUUGGGGUUCUUUGCCUAGCUGUUGGGUGUACAGAUGUUUGUCGGGUUCCUGAAGAUGCGUCGACGUGUUAUCAUCCACGCAAGCUUCCCCAACCCAGCCAGUGUGGCAGUGUACCACAAGACAACAGACAUCGAGGAGGACGGGAGGAGGGAGCGAGCGGCUGCAUGCACUAUUGAAUGGGACGGCAUUACAUUAUUCCCACAGUUGUAUGACUACACUGAAGCAAGCCCAGAAUCAAGUGUUGAGUGACCAUGAUGAAUCGGUACUACUAACGUCAAAGAAGUGAGGGAAGCGUUUGGAGUGAGCAUGCAAGACGUACAACAGACACCAGACUGCUACUGCCGGUGUAGCCAAAGGAACAAGAGGAGGCGGAGGAGGAAGAGGAACAAGAUGGAUAUUCUUGGAGACGUACCAAUGAGGUUCUGAAGGUCGGCCACAAAUCUUCAUUACUGGUGUAGUAGUGUAUUUCAUUGACCGUUUGUAGACUGGGUGGAUAAAUUUGUAGAUUUUGUAGACAGUUGUAGAUGUGAAGUGGGUAAGGUUUUUUGCAAUGCCUUAUCUACACCAGCAGAAAACCAUGA